rnacentral:rRNA from 1 species
UACUGAGUGGCAGACGGGUGAGUAACAUGUGGGAAUCUGCCUUGUGGUUCAGGACAACAUUGGGAAACCGAUGCUAAUACUGGAUAAGCCCUUACGGGGAAAGUUUUAAUGCCAUAAGAUGAGCCCGCAUUUGAUUAGUUAGUUGGUGAGGUAAUGGCUCACCAAGACAAUGAUCAAUAGCUGAUCUGAGAGGAUGAUCAGCCACACUGGGACUGAGACACGGCCCAGACUCCUACGGGAGGCAGCAGUGGGGAAUCUUGCACAAUGGAGGAAACUCUGAUGCAGCGAUGCCGCGUGAGUGAAGAAGGCCUUUGGGUUGUAAAGCUCUUUUGUAGGGGAAGAUAAUGACUGUACCCUAAGAAUAAGGUCCGGCUAACUUCGUGCCAGCAGCCGCGGUAAUACGAAGGGACCUAGCAUAGUUCGGAAUUACUGGGCGUAAAGCGCGCGUAGGCCGUUGAGUUAGUUAAUUGUGAAAUCCCAAAGCUUAACUUUGGAACUGCAAUUAA